GUGCUGUCUUGGUGCACAUGUACUUUAACAAUACAGAGAAGAUUAGCAUGGCCCCUGCACAAGACUGACAUGCAAAUUAGUGAAGAGUUCCAUAUUUUU
rnacentral:snRNA from 1 species